GAACGUCGCCCCCGAGGGCUCCGAUGUCGCUGCGCAUGCGUGAGCUGAGAGAAGGUGAGAAAGGAGAACAACUCUCCUUUGCCGGAUGUGACGUCACAUUAUUGUUUGUUUUUUGCUUUUUGAAAUAGCUACUCUCGAACUCAGACACUAUGGUUCGCGCCUCGUUCGCGCGCGCAUUGUGAGCAUUCAAGUUUCGUUUUUUGCACUUGCUUAGUAGCUGAAAUUGCGGACAUUGCAGGGUUGGGCUUGAUGACAUUUGUUGCUCAGCUGCCGCGACACAUUUGGAGCAAAGCUUCUGCUUAUUUCCUUUGGCCGCACCUUAUAUUUGUUGUCUUUGUCAACAUCUGACCUGUUUCUGCCUUGUUGAAAGCAAGUGGCCACAAGUACUGCUUAGUUUGCUCAGUCUAAACCUGGUAGUGCAUCCAGUUUAGCGCCGUGCACAUGUGUACGGACGCGUGCACGGACGUAACGCUGCUGCCCAUCGCGAGUCGUAAGCGAAAAAAAAGGCCGACUGAAAAAAAACAACAAGAAAUAUAAUAAGCUGCACGAUCAACAGAUUUUUGAAGAGACCGUUUCAACAGAGAUAUCUGAAGCAGAUCG